GACGGGUGAGUAAUGCCUGGGAAUCUGCCUGGUAGUGGGGGAUAACGUCCGGAAACGGGCGCUAAUACCGCGUACGUCCUACGGGAGAAAGCAGGGGAUCUUCGGACCUUGCGCUACCAGAUGAGCCCAGGCCGGAUUAGCUUGCUGGUGAGGUAAUGGCUCACCAAGGCGACGAUCCGUAACUGGUCUGAGAGGAUGAUCAGUCACACUGGAACUGAGACACGGUCCAGACUCCUACGGGAGGCAGCAGUGGGGAAUAUUGGACAAUGGGGGCAACCCUGAUCCAGCCAUGCCGCGUGUGUGAAGAAGGUCUUCGGAUUGUAAAGCACUUUAAGUUGGGAGGAAGGGCUUGCGGUUAAUACCUGCAAGUUUUGACGUUACCGACAGAAUAAGCACCGGCUAACUCUGUGCCAGCAGCCGCGGUAAUACAGAGGGUGCAAGCGUUAAUCGGAAUUACUGGGCGUAAAGCGCGCGUAGGUGGUUCAGUAAGAUGGAAGUGAAAUCCCCGGGCUCAACCUGGGAACUGCUUUCAUAACUGCUGGGCUAGAGUACGGUAGAGGGUAGUGGAAUUUCCUGUGUAGCGGUGAAAUGCGUAGAUAUAGGAAGGAACACCAGUGGCGAAGGCGACUACCUGGACUGGUACUGACACUGAGGUGCGAAAGCGUGGGGAGCAAACAGGAUUAGAUACCCUGGUAGUCCACGCCGUAAACGAUGUCAACUAGCCGUUGGAGUCCUUGAGACUUUAGUGGCGCAGCUAACGCACUAAGUUGACCGCCUGGGGAGUACGGUCGCAGGAUUAAACUCAAAUGAAUUGACGGGGCCCGCACAA
rnacentral:rRNA from 1 species